rnacentral:rRNA from 1 species
UACGAAGGGGGCUAGCGUUGCUCGGAAUCACUGGGCGUAAAGCGCACGUAGGCGGCUUUUUAAGUCAGGGGUGAAAUCCUGGAGCUCAACUCCAGAACUGCCUUUGAUACUGGCAGCUAGAGUCCGGAAGAGGUAAGUGGAACUCCUAGUGUAGAGGUGGAAUUCGUAGAUAUUAGGAAGAACACCAGUGGCGAAGGCGGCUUACUGGUCCGGAACUGACGCUGAGGUGCGAAAGCGUGGGGAGCAAACAGG